GAGGAACUCAUCCCGCUGUAUUCCGGCAAAAUGGGCAACGCUCACACCAAGCUGCCUGGGCGCCUCAAGAAAAAGUUUCUGAGCAAAGACGACAGCUCCUUUUGGCCAAUGUGAAACAAAGGCUGAAUUGCUUUCCAUCUCUGCAAAUUCUGGGCUGUGUGGAGCACUGAGCAAGCCUUUGUGGCCUUUCGUGCCCUAAGUGACACAAGGACUCAGUCUCUGUGGUGAAUGGCUGGGACAGCUACUUACAGAGCCUCGUGCAAGUGACCGGCCACCCUGAUUCCCAGUUUUAUCUGCUGCAUCCAGCUCAUACCAUAACAGCUGACAUAGUGGAUUACACCAGAAAAAGCCAGGAACUGGUUUGUUUUGAAAAGAAAAAGUAAAUUUGAUGUAAUUUUUAUUACAUGUCUAAUGAAUGGGGGAAUUCCCCUCUCCCUCCUUC